CCAAUAGCGUAUAUUAAAGUUGUUGUGGUUAAAAAGCUCGUAGUUGAACCUUGGGCCUGGCUGGCCGGUCCGCCUCACCGCGUGUACUGGUCCGGCCGGGCCUUUCCCUCUGUGGAACCCCAUGCCCUUCACUGGGUGUGACGGGGAAGCAGGACUUUUACUGUGAAAAAAUUAGAGUGCUCCAAGCAGGCCUAUGCUCGAAUACAUUAGCAUGGAAUAAUGCAAUAGGACGUGCGGUUCUAUUUUGUUGGUUUCUAGGACCGCCGUAAUGAUUAAUAGGGACAGUCGGGGGCAUCAGUAUUCAAUUGUCAGAGGUGAAAUUCUUGGAUUUAUUGAAGACUAACUACUGCGAAAGCAUUUGCCAAGGGUGUUUUCAUUAAUCAGGAACGAAAGUUAGGGGAUCGAAGACGAUCAGAUACCGUCGUAGUCUUAACCAUAAACUAUGCCGACUAGGGAUCGGACGAUGUUAUUUUUUGACUCGUUCGGCACCUUACG
rnacentral:rRNA from 1 species